rnacentral:rRNA from 1 species
AGACCCGAAACCCGGUGAUCUAGCCAUGGGCAGGUUGAAGGUUGGGUAACACUAACUGGAGGACCGAACCGACUAAUGUUGAAAAAUUAGCGGAUGACCUGUGGCUGGGGGUGAAAGGCCAAUCAAACCGGGAGAUAGCUGGUUCUCCCCGAAAGCUAUUUAGGUAGCGCCUCGUGAAUUCAUCUCCGGGGGUAGAGCACUGUUUCGGCUAGGGGGCCAUCCCGGCUUACCAACCCGAUGCAAACUGCGAAUACCGGAGAAUGUUAUCACGGGAGACACACGGCGGGUGCUAACGUCCGUCGUGAAGAGGGAAACAACCCAGACCGCCAGCUAAGGUCCCAAAGUCAUGGUUAAGUGGGAAACGAUGUGGGAAGGCCCAGACAGCCAGGAUGUUGGCUUAGAAGCAGCCAUCAUUUAAAGAAAGCGUAAUAGCUCACUGGUCGAGUCGGCCUGCGCGGAAGAUGUAACGGGGCUAAACCAUGCACCGAAGCUGCGGCAGCGAACGUAUCACUUAAAGCGAUUCAGCGGGUUACGAUUGACGGAGCGAAGCGACGUCAAAGCGUAUACAAAGUCGAGUCGGUUUAAGGAUACGUUCGUUGGGUAGGGGAGCGUUCUGUAAGCCUGUGAAGGUGUGUCGUGAGGCAUGCUGGAGGUAUCAGAAGUGCGAAUGCUGACAUAAGUAACGAUAAAGCGGGUGAAAAGCCCGCUCGCCGGAAGACCAAGGGUUCCUGUCCAACGUUAAUCGGGGCAGGGUGAGUCGACCCCUAAGGCGAGGCCGAAAGGCGUAGUCGAUGGGAAACGGGUUAAUAUUCCCGUACUUGGUGUUACUGCGAAGGGGGGACGGAGAAGGCUAUGUUGGCCGGGCGACGGUUGUCCCGGUUUAAGCGUGUAGGCUGGUUUUCCAGGCAAAUCCGGAAAAU